GACGAACGCUGGCGGCGUGCUUAACACAUGCAAGUCGAACGGAAAGGCCCUGCUUUUGUGGGGUGCUCGAGUGGCGAACGGGUGAGUAACACGUGAGUAACCUGCCCUUGACUUUGGGAUAACUUCAGGAAACUGGGGCUAAUACCGGAUAGGAGCUCCUGCUGCAUGGUGGUGGUUGGAAAGUGUCGGCGGUUGGGGAUGGACUCGCGGCUUAUCAGCUUGUUGGUGGGGUAGUGGCUUACCAAGGCUUUGACGGGUAGCCGGCCUGAGAGGGUGACCGGCCACAUUGGGACUGAGAUACGGCCCAGACUCCUACGGGAGGCAGUAGUGGGGAAUAUUGCACAAUGGGCGGAAGCCUGAUGCAGAAACGCCGCGUGCGGGAUGACGGCCUUCGGGUUGUAAACCGCUUUCGCCUGUGACGAAGCGUGAGUGACGGUAAUGGGUAAAGAAGCACCGGCUAACUACGUG
rnacentral:rRNA from 1 species